rnacentral:rRNA from 1 species
UUAACCGAAUAGGGGAGCCGUAGGGAAACCGAGUCUUAACCGGGCGUUAAGUUGCAGGGUAUAGACCCGAAACCCGGUGAUCUAGCCAUGGGCAGGUUGAAGGUUGGGUAACACUAACUGGAGGACCGAACCGACUAAUGUUGAAAAAUUAGCGGAUGACCUGUGGCUGGGGGUGAAAGGCCAAUCAAACCGGGAGAUAGCUGGUUCUCCCCGAAAGCUAUUUAGGUAGCGCCUCGUGAAUUCAUCUCCGGGGGUAGAGCACUGUUUCGGCUAGGGGGCCAUCCCGGCUUACCAACCCGAUGCAAACUGCGAAUACCGGAGAAUGUUAUCACGGGAGACACACGGCGGGUGCUAACGUCCGUCGUGAAGAGGGAAACAACCCAGACCGCCAGCUAAGGUCCCAAAGUCAUGGUUAAGUGGGAAACGAUGUGGGAAGGCCCAGACAGCCAGGAUGUUGGCUUAGAAGCAGCCAUCAUUUAAAGAAAGCGUAAUAGCUCACUGGUCGAGUCGGCCUGCGCGGAAGAUGUAACGGGGCUAAACCAUGCACCGAAGCUGCGGCAGCGAACGUAUCACUUAAAGCGAUUCAGCGGGUUACGAUUGACGGAGCGAAGCGACGUCAAAGCGUAUACAAAGUCGAGUCGGUUUAAGGAUACGUU